rnacentral:rRNA from 1 species
CACGUAGGGGGCGAGCGUUGUCCGGAUUUAUUGGGCGUAAAGAGCUCGUAGGCGGCUCAGUAAGUCGGGUGUGAAAACUCCAGGCUCAACCUGGAGACGCCACCCGAUACUGCUGUGGCUAGAGUCCGGUAGGGGAGCAUGGAAUUCCUGGUGUAGCGGUGAAAUGCGCAGAUAUCAGGAGGAACACCAGUGGCGAAGGCGGCACUCUGGGCCGGAACUGACGCUGAGGAGCGAAAGUAUGGGGAGCGAACAGG